rnacentral:rRNA from 1 species
CAACCCUUGUCCUUAGUUACCAGCACGUUAUGGUGGGCACUCUAAGGAGACUGCCGGUGACAAACCGGAGGAAGUGGGGAUGACGUCAAGUCAUCAUGGCCCUUACGGCCUGGGCUACACACGUGCUACAAUGGUCGGUACAAAGGGUUGCCAAGCCGCGAGGUGGAGCUAAUCCCAUAAAACCGAUCGUAGUCCGGAUCGCAGUCUGCAACUCGACUGCGUGAAGUCGGAAUCGCUAGUAAUCGUGAAUCAGAAUGUCACGGUGAAUACGUUCCCGGGCCUU